rnacentral:lncRNA from 1 species
CGUUCUCCUUGAUUUGCGCCAUGGCGAUUCGGCGCGCCGGGUCGGGGCACAGGAGGCGGCGGACGAGGCGGGCAAGGCCGGUGCUGAACCAUGGCGGACAGUGGUAGUCGGCGCGGCGAAUCAUGUGGUAGAGGCUGGUGUCUCUCUGGUUGAAGGGAUACCGGCCGGCGGCGAGCGCGAAGAGGACGACGCCGCAGGCCCAGACGUCAGCCUUGGCGCCGUCGUAGCCGCAGCGGAGGAACACCUCGGGCGCGAUGAACAUGGGCGUCCCGCAAACAGUGUGGAGCAGUGCCUCCCGCCGCUCGUCCUCGGCGAGCGCCGAGAGCCCGAAGUCGGCGACCUUGAUGUUGCCGGCGCCGUCGACGAGGAUAUUCUCCGGCUUGAUGUCGCGAUGGAACACCCCGAGGGAGUGGCAGUAGUCGAGCGCGGAAACGAGCUGCUGGAACACGCGCCGCGCAGGGGCCUCGCCGACGCCACGGCCGGCGCGGUGGGCGAGGUAGACGUCGAGGGAGCCGCCGCCGACGAACUCCAUGACGACGAAGAUGCUCCGCUUGGUGGCCAUGACCUCCUGGAUGCGGACGAUGUUGGGGUGACG